GCACUCUGCAGCCACCGGGAUGAGGCUGAGCGCCGGUUUUCGGCCUCGUGGCGCCGCUGGGGCCACAGCCUGACUUCACCACCCCGUCGCCCAAGUCCUAUGAUGGGCAGGUGUGAGGAGGGGCAAUCGGGGUUCCCAAGGCUGCUGCCUGCAUGCCACUCCGUGAGGAAGUUGAAAUACAUGGUCUCUAAGAUUCCUUCCAGCUCUUCACCUCAUGAGACAUAUAAAUCAAGUAACAUUCGUUAUUGUGAUUAGAAAAGCUGCAUUUACACACGUUAGCCACUAGAUGGGGACGUGCGAUUGUUACAAUGCUGAAGGUUUCCCGUAUUUCUUUAUUUUUUAUUUGGCCGCUAGAGGGCACGCCUGCACUGCACUUAAAGUUGACUACUUUCAAGGAAAGACAAAGGAAUUCUUGGAUUUCUCCAUUUUCCUCAUCACCUGUGCUUAUCAGAGAAUUCCAGGGGCAAGCUACCCUUUCCAAUUCAUCACUAACUUAUAAACAAAAUUCUAAGGAGUAAGGAAUGCUUCUUACUUACUUCCUAUAACAUACGUAAGAAUGAACGCUCAA
rnacentral:lncRNA from 1 species